CUAAUUCUGCCUUGCUCGAUUAAGCAUGUUUGAUAUAAUCCUACACUUCUUAAAAGGGAAUUGUUCUCCGGGCGCGGAUUGCAGACCUCCCGCCUAUGGCGGACGAAGGGAGCGCGAAACAUUCGGGACAAUUUACCCACCCUGCUUAACAGCGGGUUUUAUACGCAUGUGGCGACAAGGCGGAGUUCUU
rnacentral:other from 1 species